UUACAUGGACUUUGCCAUUUUCACUGCUGCUGCACAUGGGAGUCAACAUCUCCAUCAAGCUGUCUUCUGCAACCCCAAGGUCUUGUUCCUGGUCAGUCAACAGCAGCUGAGACUCCCAUUAGCUUAUAUAUGAAGUUAGGGGUUGGUUGGUUGGUUGGUUGGUUUGUUUUUGCCCCAGUGUGCAUCACUUACACUAAAAUACACCUACUAUUUUAGUAUCAUUCACCCAGUUUGGAGAGCUCCCUUUGGAGAUCUUUUCAAUCACUUUUUGUUUUAAACAUCCAAAGCAAUUUGGCCACCUCACUGCUUACCCUGACUUCUAGAUAAUUAAAUAAAAAGCACAGGUCCCACCCAAUACUAAUCAUUUAGGGACUCCACUUUCCCCAUCCCCUGCAUUAGGAGAAAAGUCCCAUUUAUUCUUGCUCUCUGCUUCCUGUUUCUUAACCGGUCAUUGAUCCUCAAGAGGGCCUGUCCUCUGACUUCAUGACUGUUAAGCUUACUCAGGAGUCUUUGGUGAGGUACUUCAUCAGCAGCUUUUUGACAAUCUUUAAGUACACAAUAUCUGAUGGAUCAACUUGUGUCAAUAUGUUUGUUGGCACUCAAGGAACAAGGUUUACUCUUGCGGAAGCCGUGCUGGUUCUGCUUCGGUAAGACCUGUUCUAUACCCUUAGUAAUUCUGCCUUUACAGUGUUUUCCUUUAGCUUCCCAGCACAGAUGCUAAGGUAAGUUGCCUGUAACUUCCUGGAUCCUAUCUGGGUUCCUGCUUAGGAGCUGAAUCCUGGCUUAUUCAGCUAUUUGCACAAGAGGAGCAAAGCAGCUGCAAAGGGGUUCCAUUUACCUGCAUGCAAGUCACCACAAGCCCACCACAAGACAAGAAUGAGCAACAUGUUUGCUGCAGCUUGGGCUGGAUGUUUUUGAUUUCGCAGUUCUGCCAGCAACUCAUUUUUUGUGUUACUAAAUGCAGUACCCUUAGGGAAAUAGAAUGGGGGGGGGGGGACAAGGGCUGCCAUCUUCAGUGUUCUUUGCAUCUUGAUGAGGGUGGGAGAGCUAUGGGUAGACUUGAAGAUAACAUUACACUUCCAUUCAUCUGUCCCUCCUGUACGCAGUACAUUAACCAGUUGAAAAAAAUAACUAUUGAAGAGAAAACCAUAGCAGCAGGAUGCUAAAACUGUAAGUUAAUUGCAAGCUCACUGUGGGUAAAUAUUGGUUGUAACAAGGCAGUGAGGUAUAAUUGGGAAAACUAUAUACUUGAUUUAGCUUGCCUACAAACCCCCUCUCCCCUCUGUGCUCCUGCUGGUGCUGCUACAAUCUCUGACUGAUGCACUGUGGAAUUCUUCAAUGAUAGGUCAAGUACCAUAAGCAGUUACUCUGGAAUUAGAAGGGUCUGUUAUUUGGUUGAUGCAGUCUGGAAUACUUUUUCAUGAACUAGGCAAAUUUAUGCUUUGCCAUUUUUAGCUCUUAUCAGGAAAGGGGGAAGAGUUGCCAGGCAGCACCCACAGAGCAACCGUUGCUGAGAGCUUACGCCGCCGCCUCUUGCCCUAGUGAGACUCUGAUCACAUCACAAAGGCCAGCUGGGUUGCUGUGGGCAGCUGCUUAAGGGUCUGGCUAUUCGGGACAUUCUGUGGAACAUCGAGAGAAGUUGCUCUUUGUUCUCUUCCGUUGUACAAUUGCAAAUUGUUUAGCAAGCCACCGAGAGCCCUAAGCAUAGGACAAGAUAUGUAAUCUGCAAGGUGCUGCCUUUGUAGAUGGUCUGAAGACUGCAGCUUGUUCAGAGUGCUGUGUUCAGGCUGGUGUCAAUGACUAGCUGUUUGGAACGUAUUCCUUUAUUGCUCAGUCUUAGGAAGCUGCUUUAUGCCUCGGCACAUUAUUUGUACAUCUAGGCCACUAUUGCUUGUUCUGAGUGGCAGCAGUUCAGCUGCACAUAAUCUAAAUUGUCUUGGUCAAUGUUGGCACACAAGAACAUUGCUUAGUGAAUGUAAUUACCUCCUCUUCCAAUCACAAAUUAUCCUGUAUUAAUAUUUAUUUAAUAUUUUUGUUGUGGGGAGGGGAAAAGAAGCUACUGUGUUCACUGAGGGCCCCAUCCCCAAGCAGUGGAGAUUUUAUUCAGUAACACCUCUGGCUACUGAGGGCUAGAAACUAUUAUUACUAAUGAUUUUCAGAAAGCUGAAUUCUGUACUUUUCCCAUGUGCUUACAAAAUAACAGGAUCACUUUGGCUGUAAAGAGAAGCUGGACUCAAGACAUAGCGGCCCCUUAGCCUUUUUUAUUGUUGUUUUUUUGCAACAUUGUGUGGACAUCUGAAACCAUAACUGCUAUGUGAACAUCCAGUGGGCUAACCUGUGUUGAAAAGUUAUGGAGCAACUUUCCCAAUUUCCUGUUGCACUGUAACAGUGUAACAGCGCAGAUGCAUGUAAUUUUCUUAGAAGCAAGCCUCACCAGUGGUCAAUGGGACUUACUCUCUAGUGAGCAUGUUUAGGUUUGGAGUCUAAUAAGACCGUUGUCAGUUGAGCUGACUGCAAAAGUUAGGCAUGGAUGGCUGUAACGCUCCAUAGCUUCCCAGGCAAGCUGUUCUGUUGAAAAACUUUGUGAGCACUUGAGUGGUUGGUGUGUUUGUUUAUGUAAAAUCUAUCAAUGAAAAUAACGGUUUUAUGUCCUUGGUCUGUUGUUCGGAGAAUAUUAGCAACAACAGCUGCACAUCCCAACCGCACAAUUUCCUCUCCCAACUGGUAGUGAUGUCAGUAAAUGUUAGGUUUUGGUAUGGAAAUGCAAUGCUGAUAAUCAAGUUUAAUCUAUUCACCGUGACCACUGGCAUACACAUAGUUUUGCUGCUCUGAAGGAAAGGCUUUGUUUAAUCAGGGCACAAGCCAGCCAAAGGUUAUUUACCAAUUAGUUGUAUCAAUUUCAAUGAGAGAGUUAUGGGGAAGAGGCUUUCUCAGUGACAGAGCACAUGAUUUGCAUGCAAAAGGUCUCAGGUGUUCAUCCCUGGAAUCUUUAGGUAGGACUAUGAAAGUUUUUCAUUUGAAACCAUGGUGAGAUACUGCCAAUCAGUGUAGAGAAUACACUGGUCUAACUUGGUAUGGCAGCCUCCAACAUUUCUAGUAUGCACCAUUGAAAUAUAAAAAAGGAUGCUUAGCUUUGGGUGGAUGGUGUUGUAGAUCUAAUUAUCUUAUCAGAAAAUAAGGCAACGUUUCCUGGAGCAUACCUCAUCACAUAUCACCCAAAAACACACACUGCAAGUUACACAAAAGUUACAGCAAGAGGGUGGGGUUGGGGAGAGAUAAGUAUGUUUGUUGAUUAAUGAUCCCCACUCUCUUUAAUUGCCCCAUUCUCCUAAAUAUGACGCAGUAAUUUAUAGGAUCAUGGUGUCUCCCCAACACAGCAGGAGUCAUUGCUAUGCUGGCACGUUCUAUGUACAAUUGCUGACGAGUAAGACCUGUUGAAAACAUGCAUAAGAGUGGGCUGCAAGUAGUUAAAUUUGGUAGGGGUUCAUAUUGCAUGGCUUUGCAACAUACCUGCUCAACGUCUGUUGUAGCCUCAACAUGAAGCAAUUGCUGUGAGAAACCAGUACCUUGCACAAAAAACUCCCUCUAAGCCACAAAGCGACAAGAAGCAUAGCCUAUAACUAUGGUCUUGUUCUUGGAAACAGCAGAUGAGGUGAUAACAGUUAUCAUGCCAGAAGUGCAAAUGGGGCUCACAUGACUAAAUGAUACUGCAUACGAUAAAAAUCGGGGUCAGGCCAAGAUGCUUUGUGACCUGAGGCAUAGGAGAAGCUGGCAUCCUCCAACAUGCAGAAGUUGGCCAGAUUGGCAGUUGACUCUUUCUUCAACACUGACAAUGAGACGGCAACAUCCACCACCACAGCCUGGAUUGGUACACACAAUUCUGUCAUCGAACACUUGGGCAACUUUCCCCACCUCCAGCUGCUGCCACCAGAGGCACCUGUCUCACCCUGCCUAGCAGAAGGACCCUGGAAGACAUUAUUCCUGCACACAGAAAACUUGAUAUUGAGGGGAGAGCUUGGCCUUCUCCCUAUCACAACCAGCUUUUUCCAUGCAGAAUUGUGUUUGCAGGAAAGAGCAUUCCUUCACAUAGUCAGGUGGGCAGACUGGGGAAAGAGCGAGUUCCUUACACAAUAUGUGUUAUGUUCACUAUGCAUAGGAUUGUGAGCACUUUAAACAAAAAAAAAGCUGGUAGCAUGACGGGAGAGUACUACUCAGGAUGUAAGGCCCAGAACAGGCCCAGUGCUGGAGUCUAGUGCAAAUUUAUUGUCACAGGACAGAGCUCAGUGUUUAGGGGUGGGUCUGAGGGAGCCAGAGUCUCUCUCCCCCCCCAUCCCAUUUUUUUUGUUAUUCCAUUCAUUUUUGCUAUUAAAGACCACGGGUGGAUGCCAUUUCGUCACCAUGACUAUAUGCACACAGUGCCUUGGAAACAAUGCAAAGUCCCUCGGCAGUCUGGGUAAAUAAAAUGAAGGCCACCCUGUAACAGUUGUUGAGAAAAGAAGCUCUGCCACUGCUGGAGAAAGAUGAUCCCUCCUGCCCGCAAAUGGUCAAUAAUAAAAAGUCAGUGUGGUGUGAUGUCAUGCAAAGUGUUAAGACUAGGAUUCAGGAGACCCAGGUUCAAAUUGGCUAAAAAGCUCAUUGGGUGACUUGGGCCUAUCCCUGCCUCUCAGCCUGACCUACCUCACAGGGUUGUUGUGGGGGAUGAAAAGGGGAGAGGAGAACAAUGCACACCUCCUUGAGGAACGUAGAAGAAAGCAGCUUAACCCCCCCCCCCCCGUAAGUGCAAAGGACCACUCUGCAACCAGUUUGCACGAAAGAUACUUAGGCAGGCGAUCAUAAGAAUCUGGCAUCAUGUAUAUGGAACUUUAUCUCCAAGACCCAAGUGUAGUGCAGGGAUUUCCAGCCUCACACCCACAGGUGCCACGGAGCCUCAUGCAGAUGUCCCAUACACUGAACGUUUCUUCUUCUUUUUCUUUAAAAAAAAUUAUGUUCAUCUACCCUUUGUACAUGGGCAUACAAACCCAUGCUGCACUUUUGCAUACUAUCACUGAGACCACCUACAUAAGUGUAAUUCCUGAUGCAUUUCCUGGUGACAUGAAAUUUAUUGAA